rnacentral:rRNA from 1 species
GAUGAACGCUGGCGGCGUGCCUAAUACAUGCAAGUCGAGCGAACGGACGAGAAGCUUGCUUCUCUGAUGUUAGCGGCGGACGGGUGAGUAACACGUGGAUAACCUACCUAUAAGACUGGGAUAACUUCGGGAAACCGGAGCUAAUACCGGAUGAUAUUUUGAACCGCAUGGUUCAAAAGUGAAAGACGGUCUUGCUGUCACUUAUAGAUGGAUCCGCGCUGCAUUAGCUAGUUGGUAAGGUAACGGCUUACCAAGGCAACGAUGCAUAGCCGACCUGAGAGGGGGAUCGGCCCACCUGGAACUUGAACCCGGUCCCAACUCCUACGGGAGGCAGCAGUAGGGAAUCUUCCGGAAUGGGCGAAAGCCUGACGGAGCCACGCCGCGUGAGUGAUGAAGGUCUUCCGGUUGUAAAACUCUGUUAUUAGGGAAGAACAUAUGUGUAAGUAACUGUGCACAUCUUGACGGUACCUAAUCAGAAAGCCACGGCUAACUACGUG